rnacentral:rRNA from 1 species
GACAGAGACCCCAAGCGUUAUCCGGAAUUAUUGGGCGUAAAGGGUGCGUAGGUGGUGAUGUUAGUCAAGCGUUAAACCUCCCAGCUUAACUGGGAAAUCGCGCUCGAAACGGCAUCACUAGAGUGUAUGAGAGGCAUAUGGAACUCAUGGUGUAGGGGUGAAAUCCGUUGAUAUCAUGGGGAACACCAAAGGCGAAGGCAGUAUGCUGGCAUAUCACUGACACUCAUUGCACGAAAGCGUGGGGAGCGAACGGG